rnacentral:rRNA from 1 species
UGGGGAAUUUUGGACAAUGGGGGAAACCCUGAUCCAGCCAUCCCGCGUGUGCGAUGAAGGCCUUCGGGUUGUAAAGCACUUUUGGCAGGAAAGAAACGUCAUGGGUUAAUACCCCGUGAAACUGACGGUACCUGCAGAAUAAGCACCGGCUAACUACGUGCCAGCAGCCGCGGUAAUACGUAGGGUGCAAGCGUUAAUCGGAAUUACUGGGCGUAAAGCGUGCGCAGGCGGUUCGGAAAGAAAGAUGUGAAAUCCCAGAGCUCAACUUUGGAACUGCAUUUUUAACUACCGGGAUAGAGUGUGUCAGAGGGAGGUGGAAUUCCGCGUGUAGCAGUGAAAUGCGUAGAUAUGCGGAGGAACACCGAUGGCGAAGACAGCCUCCUGGGAUAACACUGACGCUCAUGCACGAAAGCGUGGGGAGCAAACAGG